rnacentral:rRNA from 1 species
GUGAGGAAUAUUGGUCAAUGGGCGAGAGCCUGAACCAGCCAAGUAGCGUGCAGGAUGACGGCCCUAUGGGUUGUAAACUGCUUUUACACGGGGAUAAAGUGUGCGACGUGUCGUUCAUUGCAGGUACCGUGCGAAUAAGGACCGGCUAAUUCCGUGCCAGCAGCCGCGGUAAUACGGAAGGUCCGGGCGUUAUCCGGAUUUAUUGGGUUUAAAGGGAGCGUAGGCCGUCUGUUAAGCGUGUUGUGAAAUGUAGAUGCUCAACAUCUGAAUUGCAGCGCGAACUGACCGACUUGAGUGCGCAGGAAGUAGGCGGAAUUCGUGGUGUAGCGGUGAAAUGCUUAGAUAUCACGAAGAACUCCGAUUGCGAAGGCAGCUCACUAAGCAAAUAUUGACGCUGAGGCACGAAAGCGUGGGGAUCAAACAGGAUUAGAAACCCCGGUAGUCC